ACCCAACAGACCAACAAAACGAUCUAAAGUUAUGGAAUGAAAAGAAAAUUGAACAUCUACAGCGUGUCAUUAAUCAGUUGAGAGAAGAGAACUCGAAUCUAAAAAGAGAGAACGAGAGGCUGAAAAAUGAAAUACUUGAAAAAAUCCCACCUCUCCUUCAGGCUACAGAACAUUUACUUACCAAGCCCAUGACAAUGAAUGCAGAUCUUCCUGACAUGUCAAAGUCUCAACCUGAUGCUGCCCUCCCUCAUUCUCCUAAAGUGCCCAACUCUUCAUGCAAAGCUUCUACAUCUGGUGAUGCUAAAGGUACCAGUGAUGCUGAAUAUGUAAGUAAUUUUUGCUGAGAAUUUCGGUAGGUGCAUACUCAAAUGUGUUUUUUAAAAACAAUUUAUAUUGAAACACUCUUUUUAUGUGAUUGCAACCACAGG